ensembl:antisense Gm13944 predicted gene 13944
CAGGAGCUGGAGUACGGACUGGCACAGUCAGGACCCUGAAGUUUGAGGAUGUCAGGUGACAUUAUCUUGUCUAAGCAAAAUGUCAAGGUCCAGCUGCUCGGCCGCUGAAGCCUCCCUGCUGUAACAGACUGAAACCUAAACGAAUCUCUCAUCCUGUGAAUAGAAUACGCUCAACUUGGGUUCCAUGUAUGACCUCUUACUGGUGGCAUUAAGGAGAUAGACGGUGGAACCCUCAGGAGAUGCUCUUGCUGCCCAGUCUGUUGGAUCCCUUGGGACAACUGCUGGUGCUCUGGACCCUCACGUCUGAACGAAGGACCCUGAUGGGCAGAGAGGAGAGAAAACGUCUGAAGGAAUGCCUAACUUAUGGAAGGAGAUCUGUCCAGCCUGUCGGUGUAUGCGGUGAACCUGCUUGCUCUGGGUGGAAUGUGACCAUCAGCACGCAACUCAGAGCUGCCGCCAUCCUCCCUGGAGGGAUGGGGAGCCUACAAGGCUCAUGGGGCUUCUGGGGGGAUGUAGGAGCCUUCAUGGCUAUCGUCUCUGA